rnacentral:rRNA from 1 species
GACGAACGCUGGCGGCGUGCUUAACACAUGCAAGUCGAACGGAAAGGCCCUGCUUUUGUGGGGUUCUCGAGUGGCGAACGGGUGAGUAACACGUGAGUAACCUGCCCUUGACUUUGGGAUAACUUCAGGAAACUGGGGCUAAUACCGGAUAGGAGCUCCUGCUGCAUGUUGGGGGUUGGAAAGUUUCGGCGGUUGGGGAUGGACUCGCGGCUUAUCAGCUUGUUGGUGGGGUAGUGGCUUACCAAGGCUUUGACGGGUAGCCGGCCUGAGAGGGUGACCGGCCACAUUGGGACUGAGAUACGGCCCAGACUCCUACGGGAGGCAGCAGUGGGGAAUAUUGCACAAUGGGCGGAAGCCUGAUGCAGCAACGCCGCGUGCGGGAUGACGGCCUUCGGGUUGUAAACCGCUUUCGCCUGUGACGAAGCGUGAGUGACGGUAAUGGGUAAAGAAGCACCGGCUAACUACGUG